CCGGAACACAGCAACCCAGCUGCAAUCAACUGCGCCAUUUCUAACUCUCUUCGUGACUCCGUGUCUCUGUCUCCGCCGUUUCUGACUCUCUCCGUCCCCGACUCUCCGUCUCCGCCUCUCCAGUCUCCCAUCUCUGGGUCUCCGUCUUCGAGCUCUAGAUUGGAGCUACCUUCAUGGCCAGGCGGCCAGCAGAAUCUAGAUGACUAGAUCGGGAAAAUCGAUCCCAUUGAUCUGCUGUGAUGCUUUAUUACUUCGGUCAAUCUCGACCAGACGGCCACCUCAAUGAAAAUUGAAAUCGCUUGGUGAUUGUAUUCAGAUAUUCUUCUUCUUCAUUUCAUCAAUUGCUCCACCGAUUGUCAUCACCAAUUGUCGAGAAUUGCUGCUUCAUAUGUGUAAGGUUAGUGUCGAGAAGCCCUCAGAAGCAGAGGGCAACAAUUCCUUUGAGAAAGCUUGAAAAAAAAUUAAAGAAGUUCAAGGCCCACCGAGCUUUCAAUCCUGGAUCCGCCCCUGGGUAACUCGAUCAAUUGGCAGGUCUAGCAUGGGAAGUACUAUGUUUGCUGCUACCUCCAUUUUCCCUGAAUCUCUUAACCGUAAUAACUAUAAUAACUGGAGUAUGCGGGUUAAGACCUACUUGUUGGCCGAAGGUUUAUGGAACGUUAUCAAAGAAACCACUAAACCAGAACAUGGUGGUUCUGAACCGGAAUGGUUCGAGGCUUGGACAAUGAAGAAUGCGAAAGCUCUGCAUGUAAUCCAAAACUCGUGCGGGAGUGAUAUGUUUUCUCUGAUAAGUGAAAUUGACAAUGCCAAAAUUGCAUGGGAGAUCUUGGAAAGAGAGUGCAAGGAACUGAAGGCAGACACAGAAAUUGUUUUGGAAA